GUGCCCAGGCCCUGAGGGGGGAAGGUGUGGCACGCUCAAGGAAGAGACAGAGGCCACUGGCGAGAGCCCAGGGAACUAGGAAGAGACCGUGUGAGGUGAUGUGCAGGGGAAGUGAGUGGCCAGAUGUUACAGGGCCUUGCAGGCUGAGAUAAGGAGUCUGAGUGUGAUUCUGAGUGUGAUGGGAACUACUGAAAUGUCUGAAGCAGGAAAUUGCUUGGUGGCGUUCAGAGAUGACUUCGGCUUUGGUGGUUGGGCAGGAGAGGUUGGGAUAGACCGUGGACAGUAAAGCGGUGCAUGGAGAGAAGAAUAUUGUGAGAAAACCAAAUAUCCGAAGGGACUUAUUUUUGGAAGUUUUGGAAAUAGAGGGGAAGAUGAGAGGCACUCACGAAGAAGAGCAGGAAUUAAGAUGAUCUGGAAGAGGUUGAGGAUUUCUCUCAUUUAAGGAAACAGGAUAUCGCAAUGACGGGGCUGGUUUACCAGAACACCACUGCCAAAGGGAGCAUCUGUGGAUCACACAGGAGUAUCUCGUGGGAGCUAAGGAUUUGGAACCAGGUGAUAUAAAGGUUAUCAGGAACAACGUGAACUUCUUUCUGUAUUUUCCUCAGUCUCUCCGGAUUCUUAUCUGUUCUCAGAUCUACACAGCUCUUCAUUUUCCUCUCUCCAGAUUUCAAGGCCGUCUCUGGUCAAAUCAGGUUUGGGUAAAGUCAUGCAGUGUAUAGACCCACCUUUUCUAGAGCAACGGCUAGGGUAGAUUUUCGAGAAAAAUGGUGAGCAUCUCAGGCUCAUUCUUAAAAAAAAGUUAGGGUGAAAAAAAGUAAAUUGGAAAGUUGUUCCAAGCAGUGGUAACUGCUUUUCGAGUUGUUACAGCAAAAAGUAGAAACCCGGCAUGGCAAGGGAUGAGGCUGAAGAGAGGGGCAAAGGACAGGGGUGAGGGCCUCAUGCAUCAUGUUGACGGCCUUAGAGUUUGUUCUGCAUACGACAGGGCUUCAAAGUCCAAAAGUAUCAAGUCUGGGAAAACUGAAGUCUAGAUGGUUCCAAUAGACAUACAGGGUCCUGAGAGGCGUCAGGCCACGAUGGGAAGGGCGCUGACAAGACAGUCAAAGUGUUGAGUUGUAGAUGUGCCCAUUGAUUGCUUUCUUUCAUGGCUUAGGCCUCAGUUUCUUCAUCUACAAAGUGGAGAUAAGUCAUACCUACUUACUGACUAUCUAAGGAGGCGUUGGGAAGACAAAUGACAUAAUCUGUGUGGAAACCCUUUUAGGACUGUCAGACAUGGUUUCAGCAUAAGGUACUUACUCAUCUGUAAAAUGAGGGGGUUGGCCUCGAUGGGAUCUAAUGUUCUUCUAGUUCUAAAGCUCUACAACUCUAUUAUUAUCCUUAUUAUCUGACAAUCAUGCUAAAAUUAUGGGUUUUAUGGAUCUGAAACACCCUUCUCUCAUCUUGCCAAGAAAACUUAAUGUGAGGCUCGUAGCCUGGGAAAUGCCACUUCCUAGGUGGUUGUUUCCACAGAAACACCAAUAACCAUAAAGUUGUGCAGGAAUGUGAACCGUCUGGGUUUGAACAGGAAGAGGAAAUUGAUGUAUAAGCCAGGAACAGAACCAAACCCCUAAAAAAGAAUAGAGUUUCUCUCUGUACAUUACAUGUACAGAAUGUAACCUAAUCCCCCAGCUGAUAACUCUCUGCUUUUUAAAAUACUGUACAUGAUACUACCAUGGAAAUGCUGAAUGAUUUUAAAGUGGUUUUAGAAUACCGUGAUAAAACACAGAGGCUUCGAACGAUGAGGUCUAGAGAUUUUUUCAUUCCUAAAUUGCCCUUCAGCCAUGGUGGUUAGUGUUCAGUGACUCUCUUGUGUUUUAGAAAGGAAAGAGGAAACACAAUCCUCUUUCUAGAAAUAUAUCAUCAGCAGUGGAGCAGUAACGAUCGAAUCGUUGCUGAUGUUCACAGACGGCUUCCUGCGUGUCAGAUCCUGGAGCGAGCGCUCUACUCACAUCUUCUCAUUUCAUCCUCACAAAAUCCCUAAUGAGGCAGGCUCUCUUCUUGGCCCCAUUAUAUAGACGAGAAACGGAGUCUCAGGGACGCCAAUGGACUUACUCUGGGUCCCACAGCCAGUAGGCAGUAGCACUGGGAUUCAAAGCCACGGGGCCUGGCUCCAGACUUCAUCCUGUCAUCACCUAUGCUAGCUUGGCUCUGGCUGCUUACUAUGAUGUCCUAAAAACAGUUUUUCCAAAGCAAAAGAUAACAUGACAUGUAUUGCGGGGUGGUUGGGAAAGGAUCUCAUUAGAGACAGAGGCUCUGUGAUACUUCACUGACAACAGUUAAGAAUGAAUAAUAUGUUGAACAUUUUCCUCGGCACGUAAAAAUGGUCCGUGUUUCCCAGAAUGGCCAGGCUAAAACAUCAGACGCAUCACGUCUCGGGAAAGGCUCAGACUUUCAAAAUGCCUUUUGUCUCAUAAAUACAUGGGAGGCCUCCUUACCCAAGCUAGCAAGGAUUUGGAGAGGAGGCGGGAAUUCUCCAUCCCAAUCUUGGUCUCUCCUUAGCGGCUGACUAAGGCAUCAACUGCAGCUCUUUCCUCCCACAGUUUAGGUCACAAAACCAUGGACAGUGAAUGAGACCCUGAGCAAAGGAUUCUCUUCCCAUCUUCCACGCAAAACCCUUCAAUCAAAUGUCUUCUUUUUCUCUUGUACAUUUAAACAGACUUUAAAAAUACACUUAGAGAAAACAAACAAAAAAAAAGGCAUGAGAUUCUCCUUUUCUUUGGUUAGCCAUAAAUGUUUGUGAGGCAUAAAAGCCCACGGUAGGGAAGGAGAUAAUAAGGCAGCUCAGUAAUAUACUACUGCUAUUUCUAGAACAUAAUUACCAAGGAAAGCAAUCAAGUGGCAUGCAUUUAUUGAGCAUUUACUAAGCGCCUGACUGUGUGGGGUAGAAAAGUAAGGGCAGUAAGGUCUUAAUAAACAGAUCCCUGGGAACUAAACAUAGUAAAAGCAAAGAAGCAAACAAAAUUUCUGUGUAAACUGUGAAAGCAAAGCUACCUAAGGGCAGGAAAAAACAAAACAUUAAAGGGAUGGAGAAUUGUAAGGCUGUUCCUCUCUUGCCAAGACUUUGGGGGCCUUUUUCUCCUCAGGAGAGAAAUCUCCUCCCCCAAAUUCUCUCCACUUUCUCUCUCACUCAGAGGACUGUGUAUGGCUCCCUGCAUCCCUGGCAGGGUUCUGAGUGCAGAGCCCCCUAAUGAGCUCUACUCCAGCCAGCAUUCAUACAGGUUCUGUCACUCUGCUGUUGCCCCGGCCUGGCCAGGCACAGUAGGGUAUGACCACCAGUCAUUCACACUGAUGGAUGCAUUGGCCAGUGAUGGUUCAGACAAAACCCAUUCACACUAAAAUGGAACUCUACUGUGCUUUUGUACUUGAAAGCUGUUUCCUCCAGUUGGGGAAGUGGAGUUUCAGAUACCACUAAGCGGGUUUUAGGAGGAAGAAGGGGAGCCUAAAAUCACCUCAGUUCUGCUUAUCUAGCUGGGCCUGGAAGUCUCAGCUCAAAUGUCUCUUCUUCAAGGAGCCCUUCUGUGGCAUCGGGUCUAAUGUUGGUCCCGUUAUGUUACGCUGUUUUGUUUUAUUCACAGUGCUUACUAUUAUUGUAAAUUAUCUUGUUUAUUUCUCUA